rnacentral:rRNA from 1 species
UGGGGAAUAUUGCACAAUGGGCGAAAGCCUGAUGCAGCAACGCCGCGUGAGUGAUGAGGGCCUUCGGGUUGUAAAGCUCUGUCUUCUGGGACGAUAAUGACGGUACCAGAGGAGGAAGCCACGGCUAACUACGUGCCAGCAGCCGCGGUAAUACGUAGGUGGCAAGCGUUGUCCGGAUUUACUGGGCGUAAAGGAUGCGUAGGCGGAUACUUAAGUCAGAUGUGAAAAUCCCGGGCUUAACUUGGGAACUGCAUUUGAAACUGGGUAUCUAGAGUGCGGGAGAGGAAAGUGGAAUUCCUAGUGUAGCGGUGAAAUGCGUAGAGAUUAGGAAGAACACCAGUGGCGAAGGCGACUUUCUGGACCGUAACUGACGCUGAGGCAUGAAAGCGUGGGGAGCAAAC